AAGUCGUAACAAGGUUUCCGUAGGUGAACCUGCGGAAGGAUCAUUAUUGAAUACGAAUUGGUUCUGAUGCUGGCCCUUCACCGGGCAUGUGCUCGUUCCAAAUCUAUUUAUCUUCUCUUGUGCACCUUUUGUAGUCUUUGAAAAAAGUGAACCUCUCGCAGCGAUGCGGUCUGGGAGGAUGGGCGCAAGCCCUUCUCCUGCUUGCUUUCUUCAAGGCUAUGUUUUCAUAUACACUAUAUAAAGUUACAGAAUGUCUUUUAAAGAUUGUCGCGCGAGCGCAGUCAUUAAACCUAUACAACUUUCAGCAACGGAUCUCUUGGCUCUCC
rnacentral:misc_RNA from 1 species